CCAGACUCCUACGGGAGGCAGCAGUAGGGAAUAUUGCUCAAUGGGGGAAACCCUGACGCAGCAACACCGCGUGAAUGUUAAGCCCUUCGGGGUGUAAAGUUCUGUCAAUAGGGACGAAUUUUGACUGUACCUAUAAAGGAAGCACCGGCUAAAUACGUGCCAGCAGCCGCGGUAAUACGUAUGGUGCAAGCGUUAUCCGGAUUUACUGGGUGUAAAGGGAGCGUAGGCGGCGCGUUAAGUCUGAUGUGAAAACCCGAGGCUCAACCACGGGAGUGCAUUGGAAACUGGCGGGCUGGAGUGCCGGAGAGGUAAGCGGAAUUCCUAGUGUAGCGGUGAAAUGCGUAGAUAUUAGGAGGAACACCAGUGGCGAAGGCGGCUUACUGGACGGCAACUGACGCUGAGGCUCGAAAGCGUGGGGAGCAAACAGGAUUAGAUACCCCCGUA
rnacentral:rRNA from 1 species